rnacentral:lncRNA from 1 species
UGGAGAUGCUAGAAAAUUCAUGACUGCCGGAAAGCUUCCCGCUUCCAGAAGGGAAAGGACAGAUAACAAUCAGUUUCUGGCUGUUGGUCUCAGCUUUGGAGUCUGCUGUAGACAGGAACAUUUGUCUGCAUAACCCAAUGAUUUCAGAUGUCUAUUGCAUGGGUAAUUGGAGGAGAUGGAGACAAAGUAAAAAGCUGUCAGAACCGAGGAUGACUUGGGAAGACUUCUAUCAAAAGGGAAAACAAUGUUUUCAGGUAACUAUCAGUCUAUGAACAAGCUAAUCCUGGGUUCGUUCUACUUCAGCUGUUGAGUAUGUAUGUUGUGUAUGAUGCUUGAAAUAGUCUAAUUCAAACCUGCCAGAAAUGGUCACCAAAAUUGUAGAUAGUAUAUGGAGACAGGUUUUCUUUCUUUACAUCACACUUUUGAUUUCAUCAUUACCCUUUUGAUAUAACUGAUGGCUACAGCUGUGCAGAUACAACACACUUUUUAAAGAAAAUUCUAUUUUAUAACACCGAAUCCACAGCCACAGUUCACAGCAAAAGAUCGCAUUUCUUACAAAAAAUAAAAAUUAAAAAAAUCCCCA